rnacentral:misc_RNA from 1 species
GAUGAAGAACGCAGCGAAAUGCGAUAAAUAAUGUGAAUUGCAGAAUUCCGUGAAUCAUCGAGUCUUUGAACGCACAUUGCACUCCUUGGUAUUCCGAGGAGUACGCCUGUUCGAGCGUCAUUACACUCUCAAGCGCUGCUUGGAUUUGAAUCACUGCCGUGGCAGGAUUCCAAUAUCGUUGGCAAUUGACCAUCUGAUGAUGACUCACGCCGAGUUAAUUCGCCGGAACACUUCCUUUCAGUUGACCUCGGAUCAGGCGGGGAUACCCGCUGAACUUAAGCAUAUCAAUAAGCGGAGGA